rnacentral:piRNA from 1 species
GAUGGAAAUACAGGAUAAAACAUGAUCUA